GUGCCAGCAGCCGCGGUAAGACAGAGGGUGCAAACGUUGUUCGGAAUUACUGGGCGUAAAGCGCGUGUAGGCGGCAGGGCAGGUCGGAUGUGAAAUCCCGUGGCUCAACCACGGAAGUGCACCCGAAACCGCCCAGCUAGAGUCUCGGAGAGGAAGGUGGAAUGCUUGGUGUAGAGGUGAAAUUCGUAGAUAUCAAGCAGAACACCGGUGGCGAAGGCGGCCUUCUGGACGAUGACUGACGCUGAGACGCGAAAGCGUGGGGAGCAAACAGGAUUAGAUACCCGGGUAGUCC
rnacentral:rRNA from 1 species